rnacentral:rRNA from 1 species
ACUCAAAGGAAUUGACGGGGGCCCGCACAAGCGGUGGAGCAUGUGGUUUAAUUCGAAGCAACGCGAAGAACCUUACCAAGGCUUGACAUCCCGACGACAGAAGCAGAAAUGUUUCUUUCCCUUCGGGGACGUUGGAGACAGGUGGUGCAUGGUUGUCGUCAGCUCGUGUCGUGAGAUGUUGGGUUAAGUCCCGCAACGAGCGCAACCCUUAUCUUUAGUAGCCAGUGGGUAAAGCCAGGCACACUAGAGAUACUGCCGGGGAGAACUCGGAGGAAGGUGGGGAUGAGGUCAAAUCAUCAUGCCCCUUAUGUCUUGGGCUACACACGUGCUACAAUGGCUGCAACAAAGUGAAGCGAGCGUGCGAGCGUAAGCAAAACACAGAAAAGCAGUCCCAGUUCGGAUUGCAGGCUGCAACCCGCCUGCAUGAAGUCGGAAUCGCUAGUAAUCGCGAAUCAGCAUGUCGCGGUGAAUACGUUCCCGGGCCUUGCACACACCGCCCGU